CAGCAGCCGCGGUAAUACGAAGGGGGCGAGCGUUGCCCGGAAUGACUGGGCGUAAAGGGCGCGUAGGUGGCGUGCACAGUCAGAUGUGAAAUUCCUGGGCUCAACCUGGGGGCUGCAUUUGAUACGUGCGUGCUAGAGUGUGGAAGAGGGUCGUGGAAUUCCCAGUGUAGAGGUGAAAUUCGUAGAUAUUGGGAAGAACACCGGUGGCGAAGGCGGCGACCUGGUCCAUUACUGACGCUGAGGCGCGAAAGCGUGGGGAGCAAACAGGAUUAGAUACCCGAGUAGUCCCUGUCUCUUAUAC
rnacentral:rRNA from 1 species